GUCUAGAGCCAUAUGUCCUCUGAUCUCAGAAGCUAAGCAGGGUGGGGCACUUGGAUGGGAGACCACCUGGGAAUACCGAGUGCUGUAGACU
rnacentral:rRNA from 1 species